UACGUAGGAGACGAGCGUUGUCCGGAGUUAUUGGGCGUAAAGAGUGCGUAGGCGGCGUAAUGCGUCGGUGAUGAAAUACCCUGGCUUAACUGGGGGACGGUCACGGAUACGGUUGCGCUUGAGGCGGAGAGAGGAAAGCAGAACUCCCGGUGGAGUAGUGAAAUGCAUAGAGAUCGGGAAGAAUACCUGAGGGGAAGCCGGCUUUCUGGCUCUGACCUGACGCUGAGGCACGACAGCUUGGGGAGCAAACAGGAUUAGAUACCCUGGUAGUCCAAGCCGUAAACGAUGUCCACUAGGUGUGUGGGGUAUCGACCCCCUGCGCGCCGUAGGUAACCCAUAAGUGGACCGCCUGGGGAGUACGGUCGCAAGAUUAAAACUCAAAGGAAUUGACGGGGACCCGCACAAGCAGCGGAGCGUGUGGUUUAAUUCGAUGCAACGCGAAGAACCUUACCUGGAUUCAAUUAUUAGUGCAACACUGGUAAUGCGGUGUGCCCUUCGGGGCACUGAUAACGGUGCUGCAUGGCUGUCGUCAGCUCGUGCCGUGAGGUGUAAGGUUAAGUCCUAUAACGAGCGCAACCCCUAGUGCCAGUUGCAAAUCUGGCGCAACUGCCGCGCAAAACGCGGAGGAAGGCGGGGAUGAUGUCAAGUCAGCACGGCCCUUACGUCCAGGGCUACACACACGCUACAAUGGUUAUGACAAUGGGUUGCAAAGCAGCGAUGCCGAGCCAAUCCCCAAACAUAGCCACAGUUCAGAUUGCAGGCUGCAACUCGCCUGCAUGAAGGAGGAGUUGCUAGUAACCGCCGGUCAGCAUACGGCGGUGAAUACGUUCCCAGGGUCU
rnacentral:rRNA from 1 species